UACGGGGGAUGCAAGCGUUAUCCGGAAUGAUUGGGCGUAAAGGGUCUGUAGGUGGUCGGUAAAGUCCACCGUUCAAUACCAAGGCUUAACCUUGGGGUAGCGUUGGAAACUCACCGGCUUGAGUACGGUAGGGGCAGAGGGAAUUCCCGGCGUAGCGGUGAAAUGCGUAGAUUUCGGGAAGAACACCAAUGGCGAAGGCACUCUGCUGGGCCGAAACUGACACUGAGGGACGAGAGCUAGGGGAGCGAAUGGG
rnacentral:rRNA from 1 species